rnacentral:rRNA from 1 species
UACGAAGGGGGGCUAGCGUUGCUCGGAAUCACUGGACGUAAAGGGUGCGUAGGCGGGUCUUUAAGUCAGGGGUGAAAUCCUGGAGCUCAACUCCAGAACUGCCUUUUGAUACUGAGGAUCUUGAGUUCGGGAGAGGUGAGUGGAACUGCGAGUGUAGAGGUGAAAUUCGUAGAUAUUCGCAAGAACACCAGUGGCGAAGGCGGCUCACUGGCCCGAUACUGACGCUGAGGCACGAAAGCGUGGGGAGCAAACAGG